rnacentral:lncRNA from 1 species
AUGAUAAGCAGAAACUUCCGUGGGAUGAUUUUAAAAGAAGAGGUUUUCUCCUCAUCUUUUCUCCUUUCUGAUGGGAGUUGACCUUACACGAUUGGAUUGCUGGUUAAGCGGACUCUGUAAGGCUGACACUGGAGCUGGAAGUCCAGAGGACAGGCAGACAGGAAAGGAAGAUGGAUGUAAAGUGGGGGAGAGCAAGAUCAAGUUGGAGCUCCCAAGGACAGACUGAAACCCCUGUCAGUUCCCCUUCCUCAGAUCUUGAGGGUAUGAGUGUCCUGAAAAUCCACGCCCCUUGAGAUGGAGCUAAUCACGCCGGCCUGACCCAGGAGUUGGAAAGAUGGAGGAGGAUCCUGGGGCGGGUAGGGCAGCUGGAAGCCCGGAUGCUGCCUCACAGCAAUGAGCUCACCCAGCAGAUAAGCAACGGUAUGCACAAACUACAAAAACUUCCUCCAGAUCUCGCUUCAGACUCUCUCCUGUGGUCCUCCCCAACAGGAAACACACAGGAAGGGGACUUCUGGGAAAGGUAAUUUGGCCUUGCCACCACAUGUGAUAUUUCAAUUUAAACAAAAUUUUAAUCAAGAGGACAUGGUGAUAAAGAUAGCUGAAAAUCACCUGGAAAAAGCAGCAUCCAUACUUGGUGGAUUGAGAUCUAGUUUGUUGUGGGGUCCACGGCCCAGAAGAGUUUCGUAAACUUUGCUUAGUGGAGACUAUGUCCGGCCAGGCCUCAGCAGAAAACAAAUCCCUUUCAGGUGGGAUUUUGACAAGAAUCUAUGACAUCUACAUCGAUGAGGGCAGGGUGAAGAGAACCAAGGAGGAGAACUAAGGCAACCACAUCAAGUACCCCAGGAAGCCUUUCCUCCCCGACAACUCUGAGCAGGCUGGAGCUCAUGGGAGCCGCGAUGGUUAGGGACGCGGCUAAUGCCACAACCUCGGCGUCACCUGGAAGGAGUAGAGGAAAAGCACCCGAGCCAGCCUCAUCCUGCCUUCGGGGCUCCUACCGAAGCCUCCCUCGGCUCAGAGCAGCAGACAGAAUGGCUGAAAACGGGUCUGGGGCACACACGACGGAGAGCUGGCACAGGGGAUGAUAGCCAGUUCAGCCAAACUUCCUAACAUUUUGCCAAAGAACUUGAAAUAGUUAUGAUGAUAAAUAAUCUGGUGUAUGGUUUACAUUUUCUGUGAAACUUGCUCUUUUCCACUGGUGUUGAAACAUAUUCCUCAUCAUCUUGACAAAUGCCAUUAAUUUUCAUUUUUCUUCGAAUGGAACAUUGCCCUAUAAGUUAUUUUCAUAGCAAAGAGUGACUCAGCUCUCAAUAAAAGUGAUUUAUGGAAUUCUGCCAUGUUCUCACUCUGCUACUCAUAAAUUUUCUGCAUGUAGUCAACUUUCUGAAGUGUUCUGAGCCACAAUAACUCAUGGUCAGGCACUGAAAUGCAAUUCCGCUAUUCUAAAGGUGAAAGUGGAUAAUGGGUUAAUAUGUCACUCAAGUAAGAACACAGGACAGCAAGCAGCUCGACGAUGUCCACGCACUCAAUGCAUUUAGUUCAAAAAGUCGGUAGAUUUAAACUCAUAAAGUCAGUGCCA